CAGCCGCCGCGGUAAUACGAAGGGGGCUAGCGUUGUUCGGAUUUACUGGGCGUAAAGGGCGCGUAGGCGGGCGAAUAAGUCAGGGGUGAAAUCCCAAGGCUCAACCUUGGAACUGCCUUUGAUACUGUUUGUCUUGAGUUCGAGAGAGGUAAGUGGAACUGCGAGUGUAGAGGUGAAAUUCGUAGAUAUUCGCAAGAACACCAGUGGCGAAGGCGGCUUACUGGCUCGAAACUGACGCUGAGGCGCGAAAGCGUGGGGAGCAAACAGGAUUAGAUACCCGCGUAGUCCCUGUCUCUUAUAU
rnacentral:rRNA from 1 species